UACGUAGGGUGCGAGCGUUGUCCGGAAUUACUGGGCGUAAAGAGCUCGUAGGUGGUUUGUCGCGUUGUUCGUGAAAACUCACAGCUCAACUGUGGGCGUGCGGGCGAUACGGGCAGACUGGAGUACUGCAGGGGAGACUGGAAUUCCUGGUGUAGCGGUGGAAUGCGCAGAUAUCAGGAGGAACACCGGUGGCGAAGGCGGGUCUCGUGGGCAGUAACUGACGCUGAGGAGCGAAAGCGUGGGGGAGCGAACAGG
rnacentral:rRNA from 1 species